GGGUUUAGUGGCGCACGGGUGCGUAACGCGUGGGAAUCUGCCCCUUGGUUCGGAAUAACAGUUAGAAAUGACUGCUAAUACCGGAUAACGACGUAAGUCCAAAGAUUUAUCGCCGAGGGAUGAGCCCGCGUAGGAUUAGCUGGUUGGUGUGGUAAAGGCGCACCAAGGCGACGAUCCUUAGCUGGUCUGAGAGGAUGAUCAGCCACACUGGGACUGAGACACGGCCCAG
rnacentral:rRNA from 1 species